rnacentral:rRNA from 1 species
GAUGAACGCUGGCGGCGUGCCUAAUGCAUGCAAGUCGAGCGAACAGACGAGGAGCUUGCUCCUCUGACGUUAGCGGCGGACGGGUGAGUAACACGUGGAUAACCUACCUAUAAGACUGGGAUAACUUCGGGAAACCGGAGCUAAUACCGGAUAAUAUAUUGAACCGCAUGGUUCAAUAGUGAAAGACGGUUUUGCUGUCACUUAUAGAUGGAUCCGCGUCGCAUUAGCUAGUUGGUAAGGUAACGGCUUACCAAGGCAACGAUGCGUAGCCGACCUGAGAGGGUGAUCGGCCACACUGGAACUGAGACACGGUCCAGACUCCUACGGGAGGCAGCAGUAGGGAAUCUUCCGCAAUGGGCGAAAGCCUGACGGAGCAACGCCGCGUGAGUGAUGAAGGUCUUCGGAUCGUAAAACUCUGUUAUUAGGGAAGAACAAAUGUGUAAGUAACUAUGCACGUCUUGACGGUACCUAAUCAGAAAGCCACGGCUAACUACGUG